rnacentral:rRNA from 1 species
CAGUAGCCGCGGGAAUACGUAAGUGGCAAGCGUUGUCCGGAAUUAUUGGGCGUAAAGGGCUCGCAGGCGGUUUCUUAAGUCUGAUGUGAAAGCCCCCGGCUCAACCGGGGAGGGUCAUUGGAAACUGGGAAACUUGAGUGCAGAAGAGGAGAGUGGAAUUCCACGUGUAGCGGUGAAAUGCGUAGAGAUGUGGAGGAACACCAGUGGCGAAGGCGACUCUCUGGUCUGUAACUGACGCUGAGGAGCGAAAGCGUGGGGAGCGAACAGGAUUAGAUAUCCGCGUAGUCCCUGUCUCUUAUAC